rnacentral:rRNA from 1 species
CCUACGGGUGGCAGCAGUGAGGAAUAUUGGUCAAUGGACGAGAGUCUGAACCAGCCAAGUAGCGUGAAGGAUGACUGCCCUAUGGGUUGUAAACUUCUUUUAUAUGGGAAUAAAAUGUUACACGUGUGGGAUUUUGUAUGUACCAUAUGAAUAAGGAUAGGCUAACUCCGUGCCAGCAGCCGCGGUAAUACGGAGGAUCCGAGCGUUAUCCGGAUUUAUUGGGUUUAAAGGGAGCGUAGGUGGAUUGUUAAGUCAGUUGUGAAAGUUUGCGGCUCAACCGUAAAAUUGCAGUUGAAACUGGCAGUCUUGAGUACAGUAGAGGUGGGCGGAAUUCGUGGUGUAGCGGUGAAAUGCUUAGAUAUCACGAAGAACUCCGAUUGCGAAGGCAGUUCACUGGACUGCAACUGACACUGAGGCUCGAAAGUGUGGGUAUCAAACAGGAUUAGAUACCCCUGUAGUC